GGGCGUAUGGCGCAGCUGGUAGCGCGCAUGCUUAGCAAAUCCACGAAUUAUGUAAGAUAAGCUGCAUGAGGUCUUGGGUUCAAGUCCCAAUUCGUCCA